NNNNNNNNNNNNNNNNNNNNNUAUAUAGAGCUGAGGAGGAUUUUUUUUUUUUUUUAAUCAGUAGGGCCCAGUGUUUUUGAGACUCUCUGAGGGCUCAAAGCAGGAUCCUCUCCUGACCUGACUUGCACCUGUGGGCUCUCAGUUCUUCCCUGGAGCGGGGCAGGGGGAUACUUCCGCUCCUUUCUCCGUGCCUGGGUCUUCUCUCCAAGGGGAGGAAAACCGAGACUUGCAGGAUUCGAACCCAGUUCUGUUUGGCACCCAAUCCCUGCUUUUUGGCACGACAUUAGCCACUGGCCAGCAUCAGUAUGGCCUAGAAUUGGGCCCACUAGGAAUCAUCUUCUUGCAAGCUGCUAAACGGCGUUCCUUGGGCACUCCUCAAAGACCCCCAAGCCCUAUGCCUGGAUCAGAAGCUGUGGAGAACAGAGGACUUCCAGGGGCUUUGGAAAGAACACCAGAUGCCUCAACCAUGACAGGUCCCCCAUCCCUCACCAAGUGGGUGACCAGUCCUGGACCUCUGUGGACUUCACCCAGGUUGGCCAGGUGGCGAGAAAGCAGGCAAGCUCCAGGAAGGAAGCUGGCGAGCCCAGCCUCCAAAGACAGACAAGCGUGGGCUGGGCACCAUUCCAUCCAGAGUGCUCCUGGGAAUUAGGACCAACGUUUGCAAAAUCCAGCUGUAAGUGGAGCAGGGGUUCCCCAGAGCAGCCCUGGAUUCUGCAGAAGAGUCAGCUUCUCAGGAAAGAGCUGCCUUCAACAGCCGGAAGAGAGUGAGACUUCAGUUCACUUGGGGAGGGGACAGAGCUGCGUGACUCAUCACCCGGUCUUGCCGGCUACAACUGGCACAGCAAUGGACCUCCCAGAGGAGGUCCCAGGCAGGCAAUCACAAUCCGGCACGUAGGGACACGGGGCCGGGUGCCGUGGGAGGACUAGGGAGGAAGCAGAGUGGUGUUUGAAGAGUCUCGGAGGGCCUCCCAGAGGAGGUGACAUCAUCAAAAAGAUGAAUGGAAUUGGUCAGGUGGCAGUCAGAGGGAAGGAGGGGAGGGUACUCCCCGCCAAGGAAGAAGCAGAUGCAAAGCACUGGCCCAGUGCCUGCAGCCUGGUGAGCAGUCCUGAAAUGUGAGGCGUUAUCGCUGCGGCUGACUUACCAUCAUCACAGUGAUUAACCUGGGCUUGUUUCUUAAUAUUUUUCUUAUCUUAAAGUUAGUUCCUGUGAUGAAUAAAUGCCUAAUGGCACUGAGCUUUUCCUUACUAUAAAAGAGUGGCGCUGAAAAUCAGGGGUUCGGUAUCCGCAGCGCUCAGCCUGAGUGGCUGAGACCAGCGGGGGUUGGGGGGGGCAUGGAAAGGGGCCUUGUUCUGCCUCUCUCCUUGGCUGGCGGCCCUCCCCUGGGGGGCAUAGGAGGGAACAUUCUGGGGUCUUUAAAGGUGAGAGGCAACAAGGCAGGGACCUGGAUAGACAGGGUCAGGCAAGUCCCAAGGAAGAGCUUCCCGGCCUGGCUAGAAAUGAAGGCUCCCUCCUCCCUGGGUCUUCUGCGGCCUCUUAAAACAGGAAGGUACUAGAGGUGGGUACCUCAGAAGGAGCUCUGCGAAUCCCAACUCUACGGGCCCGGGCAAAUGACUUCACCUUUCUGAAACUCUGAGUUUUUGUUGCUUCAACUCUACAAGCGCACUAAGAUAUGUACGAGAAUUUUCAAAGCACAUGCCUGGUAACAGCUACCUAUGUAAAUAAGUAACAAAUCCCAGAAAGCACAACCGAUAACAGAAUGGACAAAUAACUAGUGGUAUAGUCCUAAAAUGGAAUAUUAUUCAAUCGUAAAAUAAAUAACUUAUAGGGACACUGACAACAGAAAUAUAUUAAAAAAAAAAAUUUCUUUUUUAUGUCGGGGGAGCCUGGCUGGCUCAGUCGGUGGAAUGUGCAGCUCUUGAUCUUGGGGUUGUGGGUUCAAGCCCCACAUUGGAUGCAGAGACUAGUUAAAAAUAAAUCUUAAAAAAAAAAAAAAAACCAACAACAAUUCUGCAUGAAAAUAGGGAGUCACAUAAUUAUAGAAUGCUUCCCUCUGCACACAAAAAAAGCAAAACUAAACUAAACAAUCUGAUGUUCAGGGAUUUAUACCAAAGUGAUAAAACCAAGAGAAAAUCAAGGAAAUGACUAGCACAAUUAAAACAAAAUUCAGGAAAACGGUCCUUCAAGGAGGAAGGGCGGAAGCUGCAGUGGAGGCAUGUGGAGGGUCUCAAAGCUACUGGUAUGGGUCUAGUUUUUCAGCUAGCUAGUGGACAUAUAGAUAUUUUAUUGUUACUACUAUUAUCCAUUAAGCCGAAUCUGUAUAGCAUAUACAGUGUCUUUUACCAUAAAACUUUAUGGCUGUCACACUAAUACUUACCUUAUAGGAUGCAUGCCUACGAUAAGGCAGAGAAAAUUAAAGUAUUGGUACACAGUCAGCUCUCAGUUUUGAGGGCUUUGGCUGCCUCAGUUUCCCCAUCUUCAAAGAGAGCGGGUGAUACUGCUGAGGCUUCAUCCUCUAGCUUGAGGGUUCUGUGUUCCCCUUUUAUUUAUUUCUUUCUUUUUUUAAAGAUUUUAUUUAUUUAUUUGACAGAGAGA
ensembl:lincRNA